rnacentral:lncRNA from 1 species
UCUUUACGGUUCUGUCCCCUAGGCCCCUUCCUUCCAUAAGACCUACUCAGGACUCCACUGGGCUGCUGACUACUCACCCUCCCCUCAGGUCAUCUCCUGACCCGUACACAGUUAUGUCCACCCAGGGUCUGCUUGGACACCUGUGCCUGAUGUUCACCAGGGGCCAGAUGUCGUCCUCAGGCCUGAUGUCCACCUAGGGCCUGAUGACUGCCUUGGCCUAUGUCCCUCUGGGGGCCUUGUGUUCACCUGGGGACUGUAUCCAGCUGGGGCCUGAUGGCCUACUGGGUCUUGUUGUUCACCUAAGGCCUUGUGUCCACCUGGGGACUGGUGAUCACCUGGGGCCUGGGUGUCCACCUGAGGCCAGAGGUGCACCUAAGGCCUGAGUUUUCACCUGGGCCUGAUGAUCACCUGGGGACUGGGUGUGUGCCUUGGGUCUUUUCCCUUUUCCUGAACAGGGCUUGCAGUUUCCAAACCAGACACAAUCUCCCAGUUGGAGAAAGAAAAAGGAUCCUAGAUGAUAGUGAGACAAAUUUCAGGAAACUCCAUCCAAAUAAGUAAAUGAGAAUGAGGACAGGAUUCAUUGCAUGGUGGCAUGUGCCUGCAGUCCCAGCUACUCAAGAGGCUGAGGUGGGAGGAUCGCUUGAACUCAGGAGUUGAAGGCUGCAGUGGGUGAGGAUCACAACACUGAAUUCCAGCUGAGGUGACAGAAUGAGACCCUGUCUCUCUAAAAAACAAGCAAGCAAACAAACCAAAAACCACAGACAAACCAGACCCCUCUUAGCAGAAUACUUCCAUGAGGUAAUAAAAGGUUUAAUUUAUUUCAGAAGUUUCUAGAUUUUAUUGUCUCUAUUUAGCCAAAGCCACAAGAAAAGUCAAAUUCAUAUCUUUAAAUGCUUUCAUUAUCAAUCAAGAAAGAAGAAAGUGAAACGAACAAACAAUUUUACUCAAGAAACUAGUGAGAAAUCAAAGAAAUGUCCAAGAAGUAGGAGACAAGAAUUAAUCAAAACAGAUUAACAGUGGAAUAAAUAAAUGAAUCCAACUGGUUCUUUGUAAUGGAAUGUAGAAAGACAUACUCUAUUCUUCUGGAUAGGAAGAUGAAAUAUCAUAAUCAUAUCAAUGCAAGUUUUAUGCAUGCUCAAACAUGUAUAAACUAAGAAAAAAUCUGAAAGGACAGACAGCAAAAUGUUUGCAGUUUUUUUCCUCCAAGUGGUAAGAUUAAAGAACACAGACAAAAAUAGAAACUCCUCACAUGACCCACCACGAAGCCCAUCAGAUGGCAGAAUGCAGAAUCAGGUUGCAAUGGACUGAUCUUAAAACAGAUGAAGCAGUGGAGAAAAUCUUCCUGGAGCUGAUGGUAUAAUUUGCUUCUUGAAACAAUGACAGUCCAUGAAAUAAGGUGGGGAAGAUGUUUUGAACCUCUCUCAGCAGCAGAUCCCUAAAUCACAGACCCAGAACUUGGAGGAAACAGGAAACAGGAGGCCAUCUCUGCACCUCUCCAGCACUGCUCUGGUUGGUGGGCAGAAUAUCAUACAAUCAUCACGAUUCUUAUAUCAAAAACCAAAUUCUAGACUGAUUAAAUAAUUAUUUUUUUAAAUGAGAAAAGUUAUCGUUUAUUUGAUCUUGGGCUAGGGAAGAUAUUUCCAAGCAAAAAGGGUAAAAAGAAGGAAAAAGAAAUGAUUAACAGAUUGGAAGGCAAUAACAAUAUAAUAUCAAGUGCUGGCAAGAGCUCAGAGAAGUGUGUGUUCUCAUGACUGCUGGAACAAAUUGGUAUAAUAUUUCUGAAGGGCAAUCUGGCUGAAUAUGUUAGAAGUCUUUAAAAUAUUUAUACUCUGACUCAGUAAUUCAACAUCUAGAAAUUUUUCCUAAGUAAGUAAUAAGAAAGAGUUGAAAAAAGUAUUUGAAUAUUGAAAGACUGGAAAGAACAUAAAGGUUCAAUAAUACAUAUAUGUUCAACAACAGGGGACUAGUAAAUAUGAAUUAUUUAUAUGAUAAAAUACUAUCUAACCUUAAAAUAAUGUUUUAAAUAAUAUUUAAUGAUGAGAAUAUGCUGAGAAAAGUUUAAUCAUUUUAAAAAAGUUACAUGCAAAAUUAAAGUUAAUAACAUGUACAAGAUUAUUCUAAUUUUUUUUUUUUUUGAGAUGCAGUCU